rnacentral:misc_RNA from 1 species
GGCAUUUCUCGUAAUUACACCCAAAUAACGUGCCUCUUUGUUUGCCAUCAUUUUUAGGGAUUUUUCCGUUCUUGAACUGCCUAUUUCAGAAAAAAGGUAACCCUAACUUUUGCCCCAUUUCGUCAUUCACGAUCCUUUUUCAUCUUCUUCCUUAUAUGUUUCUAUUCUUAAUCGUCAAAUAAGGAUCAGAUUUGACGUUUAUUCCUUUUGCUGUACUGAUCGAUCCCAAUUUCAACUUUAUCCGUUUUUUCUCCCCAUUUUUAGGUUUAGGAUACACAAACUCCCGAUCUGUGGUUUUGAUCUCAAGAUCCGUGAAAACGCUUGUAAAUUAAGCCAUUUUGGGUUGCGGGUUUCGUUUAUCUCGUCAAAAUUAUUCUGAUUUUGUAAAAUUUAUUUUGGAAGCUGUUUUUGGGUUUUGAUUAAUAAGGUCUGUUUUGAUCUAUAUAUCUGCUUGAUCCCGACUUGAAUUUUUUUGCUUUUCUUUUUUUUUUUUCAUUUUGUUGGUUGGCGAGGU